UACGGAGGGUGCGAGCGUUGUCCGGAAUCACUGGGCGUAAAGGGCGCGUAGGCGGCUCAUGAAGGCUGUGGUGAAAGUCCGGGGCUCAACCUCGGAUCGGCCGUGGCGACUCGUGGGCUGGAGCACUGUAGAGGCGGGUGGAAUUCCGGGUGUAGCGGUGGAAUGCGUAGAGAUCCGGAAGAACACCAGUGGCGAAGGCGGCCCGCUGG
rnacentral:rRNA from 1 species